rnacentral:rRNA from 1 species
UACCAGCUCUCCGAGUGGUGUGGAUGUUUAUUGGGCCUAAAGCAUCCGUAGCUGGCUGGACAAGUCCCCUGUUAAAUCCACCGAUUUAAUCGUUGGUGUGCGGGGGGUACUGUUCGGCUAGGGGACGGGAGAGGCAGACGGUAUUUUCGGGGUAGGGGUGAAAUCCUAUAAUCCCGAGAAGACCACCAGUGGCGAAGGCUGUCUGCUAGAACGCGCCCGACGGUGAGGGAUGAAAGCUGGGGGAGCGAACCGGAUUAGAUACCCGGGUAGUCCCAGCUGUAAACGAUGCAGGCUAGGUGUUUGGAUGGCCACGUGCCGUUCUAGUGCCGCAGGGAGCUGUUAAGCCUGCCGCCGUGGGGAGUACGGAUCGACAAGGAUUAGGAAAACUUUAAAGGAAGUUUGGGCGGGGGAGCACCACGAAGGCGUGAAGCGUUGCGGUUC